rnacentral:tRNA from 1 species
GGUGGCUCAAUGGUAGAGUGCUUGCUUUGCAUGCAAGAGGCCCUGGGUUCGAUUCCUCAGCACCA